UUCCUAGUGCGAAUCCUGCCUUUCUUGUCAUACCAAAGAUUCCUAUCCCAGCAAUGUCGGCACAAUCGCAUUCUUUAUCUGAACUCGAAUCCUUUCCUGCUAUAACCUUUGUAAUCUCUAAUAUCUUCAAUCCAAUCCCAAUCAAGCUUGAUGGCAGCGCGAGCAACUGUUCUUACCGUGUUGUUGUUGCUGCUCCUAUCCGAAUGAAGGAUGUACUCAGUCAUGACCCAAGUUGUUGAGACCUCUCCUCCAGAAGCUUCCAAUCGACGAAAUCUGAAAUCCUGCGUGUAGCCCCACAAUCUCGCUACUCCGGUAGAUGGUCUUUUGUCCAUCAGUAGAUUUCCAGCAUCCCCUCCCGUCGACGGUGCACCGAUUUCGGGUCGGUCGACACCGAACCUGCCUGUAGAAGCAAUCUGUGCAGUAGCACAGUCUCCCCAAACUACGAACGUCUACAGGAGCCACAUCGACCAAGAGUUGGGCGUUUGCAAAUCAAAUGAAUAUUGAGGUGAAUGCUCU
rnacentral:lncRNA from 1 species